UAAUCUGGCAGGAUUUUUCAACCAAUGUUUUGGACCCCAAAAAUAGGAGCAUAACUGCAAACAAACUAUUUGAAAUUGGCAAUUUUAAAUGCUCGCCAAGACAAAUGAUCUCAUAUAGUGAUACUACCUCCCAUUCUUGGUUCAUAUUUGAACGAUCCCAAAGUCCACUAUUGCAAAAAAUGUGGGCCGCUCAGGAGAGGAGAGCUUUGAAGUUGCACAUGGACUGUAUGACGUCAGGAGGAAGGAUGAAGGUGGCAAACGUGGUGCCAGCAGAUGACUGGAAGCUUUGCUGCAGGCUGAAAAACAGCCAUCGUAAAUAAAGAGGCAGCAGUUCUAGUUUAGUGACUUUUUUUUCUCAAAAUUUGAGCCUUUGUUUUGGAGCAUUAAAAGAAUAAUUAACUAAGUAAAAAAAUUAAAACGUGAAGUUCAUUUUAACCAAGAUUUUAUCAUCGAAUCGCAACUUGUAAGAGCACAGAUAAACUGAA